UAUCUAUCUAUCUAUCUAUCUUGCAAAGACGAGCUUUAAAAAUAAACGUUGAAAGCACGGUGGUUUUGGGCUUCCGUAAUUUCCUGUGAAUGAUUGUGGUCUCUCGUUUCCUAUCUACUCCUCUCUUGCUCUUUAAGCUGCACUUCCGCAUUCUUUGUUUUAGAUGAAGAUGGUGAAUUUCAAAAAAGACAUAGAUACAGAAAAAAAAGAUGUCUAUGCCUAUGUCAAUCCAUCAGAUGAUAAAUGCACAGUUUACCUGUGUCCCUGUUUCUGGACUGCACAUGGAUACCUGUGUGAAGAUUCCCAACCAGGUACCCUCAUACAUGAAGUCUCUCACGUUUUUGGGGACCGACGACAUCUCUUAUGACCUCCUGACUGUGGAGCUGUUUGAAGAUCAUGGCACAUUGUUGGGGAAGCGGAAGCUUCUUGAACAGGAAAGUGAUAUGACCCUGGAAGAUGUAACCCUAAUAAACGCAAAUAGUCUGGAACAUGAAUUUGAGACUGUGAUCAAUCAUCAGGAGAAAUACCUUAAUGGAAAAUAUUUGUGCUGCAAUGAAACCAAAAGAAAUUCUGUCUGCAGAUCUCGAUCAACUGGUCAUUACCAUUUGCAUGAAAGAUUUGAGUACAGAAAAACAGAAAUGGCAGCCAGAAAAGAAAGGCUCUGUAAUGAGACAACUCCUGCAAUUGUGCGACUAGCUAAAAUUAAGGGCGGAGCCUGUCGGAGGACAGUCAUCUGUGCAGCCUCAGAGUAAAGAUGAGGUUGGACAGAUGAAGACAAGAAGUUCAUUCACCAGAAAUCGGAAACAGAACACGCUUUCCUCAACUUAGACCACAUCAGGAAUUUUUAAAAGAUGUAGUAAAUUUCACGAAACAUCCUUACUUUAAUUUUAGAUAUCUUUCAUGUUUCUGGACAUGACUCACUGCUGCCCGUGCAUCUUUAUUCCUUUUAAGUAAGGCAUUGGCCACUCAGACUUCAGUCAGCUGCUGAGGGGGGUGGGGGUAACAUACUAAUAUUGCAUUUAAUUUAUUUUCAAAACACAAGCAUCCAACCCAGUUUGGAAUUUAUUAUACAGCACAAUACAGAGGACAUAUCGGGCUGGAUAUCGCUACAUGGUGAGACACCCACUUACACUGAGCAGAUUAUCAAUAUAAGUUUAUUGGAACAGCACAUCUUUGAAGCACAUCUUCUGUAAGCAUGGCAAAGAGGCCCAUGCGGACAUUCAGUUAACAAAAGUGCUUACAGGUGAGAGAUGGGGUCAGUAUUGGGAACAAACUGGAUUACCCAGAAUCCCUGGCAAGUGUGGGGCUAAGCCAUCUAUACCGCCUAUACUGGUACUAUACCACCUGUGGAACUACCAUAUAAAUCAAUUUAUUUAAUUUAACUUGUUUAAUGUGUGUCUAUAUGGUUCACAAUACACAGUGCAUAUUAAAUGCCAUAGAAAGGAAAACUACUUUUCAAAAAGUUGCAUGGGAUCAGUCAUUACAUUUGUGACUGAUCCUUUCAUGCCAUUUUUACAGAAGAAUGCUAAGAAGCUAAAGAAAUCCAACCACAUAUGUGAAGUGUAUUUAAAGUGCAUGCAUCAGUAUACCAAUGCAAAUAUAAGUAUCUUUAUACUGUAUAUAUAAUUAUAUUUAAAGUAUUGUUUCUGCAUAGAAGUCAGGCUCAUAAACACACACCUUGCAUUAUAGGCAAUUCUUUACCCUAUUUACGGGGAUGCAGACGCUGUAUUUUUUUAUGUCGGCCUCCCUGAAAAAUUAGAAUCCCAAAUUUUUUAGGAUUCAAAGUGGCAACCCUGCCAGGGGGGCGUGUCCCCCUGAAGUGCAUUUUAUAUAUCCUUUUUCUUCUGUCCCAUCUUCCUAUGAUAUAAAUUAUAAUACAUACUGUAUGUGUACUAACUAGUGAGUGUGACUUAUGUAAUUGAGGAAAUGCUGAAUUAUAAUUUACUGUCUUAAAGAGAAUAUGAUUUAACCCCAUUUUAGAAUUGAUCUAGAUUGGUGUUUAUUGUUUUAUGAAUUGCUAAACGAAAUUUAACUGCAAUUAAAUUGCAAACACCAGUAUUCGUAUUAACUUGUGUGUAUUUAAGUUGUGUUGGAUUCUGCAUAUUGUGUUUUUAAAUGCAUGCUAUUUCAUGCAUUCUGUCUAGUUAUACUGUAUAGUCACAUACAGACCAUUUUGUCAUAUUAUGUAACUGCAUGUAGUUGAACGAGUAAGCAUUCCUAUGCACCUAUUUCUUAUGGCCAAUAAAAAAUCUUGAAUUUUGAA